GUGCUCCCCCGCCAAUUCCUUUAAGUUUCAACCUUGCGGUCGUACUUCCCAAGUGGCCCGCUUCACGGCUUCCCUACGGCACCACGGCAGUUCGCGACUGCCGUGACACCUAGCGGGCAUCGUUUACGGCUAGGACUACCCGGGUAUCUAAUCCGGUUCGUGCCCCUAGCUUUCGUCCCUCACCGUCGGACCUGUUCUGGUAGGACGCCUUCGCCACCGGUGGUCCCCAGAGGAUUACAGGAUUUCACUCCUACCCCCUGAGUACCUCCUACCUCUCCCAGUCCCAAGCAAUGUAGUGUCCCGCAGACGCCCAACGGUUAAGCCGCUGGAUUUCCCACAAGACUUGCAAAGCCGGCUACGGACCCUUUAGACUCAAUAAUAUCGGCCACCACUCGAGCCGCCGGUAUUACCGCGGCGGCUGGCACCGGUCUUGCCCGGCCCUUGCUAACAGCCGUUUUUUAGACAGCUGGACAGACACCUAAUGUAGAUGCCACUCGAUGUUCCCCUAUCGCAGUUGCCUGCAUUGUAGAGUUUUCGCGCCUGCUGCGCCCCGUAGGGCCUGGAUUCGUGUCUCAGAAUCCAUCUCCGGGCUCUUGCUCCCACAACCCGUACUGAUAAUCGGCACGCCGGUACUUUACACCGGCGUCAACCUAAUCAGCCGCAGACCCAUCCAAAGGCGCCAGAGCUUUCAAUCAAAAAACCCUUCCAGUACUCUUGACCUAUCCGGUAUUAUCCCCAGUUUCCCGGAGUUAUCCCAGACCUUUGGGUGGGUUGUCCACGUGUUACUGAGCCGU
rnacentral:rRNA from 1 species